AAAACGCUGCAGCUAAGCUGCUUUUCAGUCUUGCCGCGCAUUCUAUGACCCUGGUUUAUUUACUAUUUCUUUCGCCGUUGCCGCCGCCACCAUCUCCACCACCACCGCAGCGGUCGUCGUCGUCAUCAUCAACAUCAUCAUCAUCAUCAUCAUCAUAAUCAUCAUCGUCGUCAUCGUCAUCGUAUUAGUCGUAGAGUCGUCGUGGUUGUCGUCGUUGUCGUUGGUGUACAAUAUAAAAAUCGUAUCCACCAAUUGGGAAGCGUCAUUUUCCGAAAUUUCCCGGCCUUCUGAAACACCACCUUAGGCCUGAAACUGUUCUACUGAUAUAAAUAUACACAUUCGUUGCGCGGUCAACCUCAUUCUGUUGCGAGUUCGUGCCGGUAUCAGUUGUACGUUUUUAUACACGCUGCUUCGUUUAUUUUAAAAAAUAUAUUUUUUCGCUCAUUUUAUCGAGAUUCUGCGAGUCGCUUGCUUGUGUUCCGGCGGAAAUAUUUUUUAAUCGAUUUUAGCGGUUUUUUAAUUUUGCGAUUAUUUAUUAAUAUUCAAUCAUUAUUCUCGUGUCCAGUAUUUUCAAUUUUUAAAUUCAAUUUUUUUCCUCUCUCUUCGUCCAUCCGUCGUCGAGUUUAUUUUAUUUUGUAUUUUUUAUAUCGAUGGUUAUAAUAAUGGGUCUCGAUCCGACUGGUUUAUAUUAAAAACGAAGUUCAACUGCAACGUCCAGUUUUUGGAGAAUAUUUUCCGGCUGAUUUGCUGCGCGAAGAAACAGAAAAAAAACCACAAGAAAAAAUUCAGUACAUCGCCACUCUCAACACAAUCAUCGUCAAAAUGCGUUUACAAAAUAGAGAAAUUUUGGAUCCUACUGAAGUUUAUUAGCUAAAUGUAUCGGCUACACGAUUGCUCCCGAUUCUACGGAAACCUGGAAAAGCAAAAAAUUACACAAAUGAGAAACACACACUACUUUCAUCAUCACAUAUAAUAAAGAUUCUGAUUUAAUUGCGCAAUUUUAAACUCGAAACAAUGGAAAACAAGGUGUUAAGAUUUUUUAUAUAUUGGAAGCACUCCAAAUACAAACCUUCCAAAUAUGUAUUUUAUAAUUUAUUAUUUUUUAUUGCGUAAAUUUAUUUAAAAUUUAAAACGAAAAAAAAUCGAAAAAGAUAAAAAAAAAUCCGUUGAAAAAAAAAGAGAUAAAAAAGAAAGCAAGUCAAUACGGGAACGAGUAUUCACGUGAAAAUGAAUAUUUAAAAUUAAAAUACAACUAUUUAUUUUAAAUUAAUUUAUUAUUUAUUUUGUAGUCCUUCUUUGUUCUUAUUCAGUAAGGAGUAUUAUGUAAAUAUUGUAUGUACUGAGCAUUUUCAUAUUAAUGCAAAAAAUUAAUAUUUAAUACAUUCAUUUUCAAUA